rnacentral:misc_RNA from 1 species
CUAAGGAUAAAGUUAUCAUCUUCAGUUUUGAGAGACUUAAGAAAGUUUUUCAUUUUUUAAGAUUCGGGCCUAUAGCUCAGCUGGUUAGAGCACACGCC